UACGUAGGGUGCAAGCGUUGUCCGGAAUUAUUGGGCGUAAAGAGCUCGUAGGUGGUUUGUCGCGUUGUUCGUGAAAAACUCACAGCUCAACUGUGGGCGUGCGGGCGAUACGGGCAGACUAGAGUACUGCAGGGGGAGACUGGAAUUCCUGGUGUAGCGGUGGAAUGCGCAGAUAUCAGGAGGAACACCGGUGGCGAAGGCGGGUCUCUGGGCAGUAACUGACGCUGAGGAGCGAAAGCGUGGGGAGCGAACAGG
rnacentral:rRNA from 1 species